AGCCUCGUUGCCCAGCUGGUAGAGCGUGCGCGUAAAAGGCGUAGGCGGCGUCCAUGCGUGGGUUCGAAUCCCACCAAAGCUA
rfam:Echinostoma caproni strain Egypt genome assembly, scaffold: ECPE_scaffold0000504